AUUGAACGCUGGCGGCAGGCCUAACACAUGCAAGUCGAGCGAGCGGCGGACGGGUGUGUAAUGUAUGGGGACUGCCCGAUAGCGGGGGAUAACUACUGGAAACGGUGGCUAAUACCGCAUACUAUCGGAUAACCCAUAUGGGACUAGCUAGUAGGUGGGGUAAAGGCUCACCUAGGCGACGAUCCCUAGUUGGUCUUAGAGGAUGAUCAGCCACACGGGGACCGAGACAAGGCCCAGAAUCCUGCGGAGGCAGCAGUGGGGAAUAUUGCACAAUGGGGGCAAGCCUGAAGCAGCCAUGCCGCGUGUAUGAAGGAGGCCUUAGGGUUGGAAAGUACUUUCAGCGGGGAAACGUUACCCGCAGAGGAAGCACCGGCUAACUACGUGCCAGCUGCCGCGGUAAUAC
rnacentral:rRNA from 1 species